rnacentral:rRNA from 1 species
AUCAACUUUCGAUGGUAGGAUAGAGGCCUACCAUGGUGGUAACGGGUAACGGGGUGUUAGGGCACGACACCGGAGAGGGAGCCUGAGAAACGGCUACCACAUCCAAGGAUGGCAGCAGGCGCGCAAAUUACCCAAUCCCGACACAGGGAGGUAGUAACAAUAAAUAACAAUACGGGGUUCUUCCAGAUUUCGUAAUUGGAAUGAGUACAAUUUAAAUCUCUUAACGAGGAACAAUUGGAGGACAAGUCUGGUGCCAGCAGCCGCGGUAAUUCCAGCUCCAAUAGCGUAUAUUAAAGUUGCUGCAGUUAAAAAGCUCGUAGUUGAAUUUCGGGACCACUAUGUCGGUCGUGCUUCGGUACGUACUGUCAUUAUUGGUUUCUCCCUUCUGAAGAACCUUGAUGUCAUUAAUUUGGUGUCUUGGGGAAUCAGGACUGUUACUUUGAAAAAAUUAGAGUGUUUAAAGCAGGCUCGCGCUUGAAUACAUUAGCAUGGAAUAAUGAAAUAGGACGUUUGAUUCUAUUUUGUUGGUUUCUAGGAUCGACGUAAUGAUUAAUAGGGAUAGUUGGGGGCAUUAGUAUUCAAUUGUCAGAGGUGAAAUUCUUGGAUUUAUUGAAGACUAACUACUGCGAAAGCAUUUGCCAAGGAUGUUUUCAUUAAUCAAGAACGAAAGUUAGGGGAUCGAAGACGAUCAGAUACCGUCGUAGUCUUAACCAUAAACUAUGCCGACUAGGGAUCGGAUGAUGUUAAUUUUUUAAUGACUCAUUCGGCGCCUUACGGGAAACCAAAGUGUUUGGGUUC